UGCCAGCCGCCGCGGUAAUACGAAGGGUGCAAGCGUUGUUCGGAUUUAUUGGGCGUAAAGGGCGUGUAGGCGGAAAAAUAAGUCAGGUGUGAAAGCCCGGGGCUCAACCCCGGAAGUGCAUUGGAAACUGGCGAACUUGAGUACGGGAGAGGAAAGUGGAAUUCCGAGUGUAGGGGUGAAAUCCGUAGAUAUUCGGAGGAACACCAGUGGCGAAGGCGGCUUUCUGGACCGAUACUGACGCUGAGACGCGAAAGCGUGGAGAGCAAACAGGAUUAGAGA
rnacentral:rRNA from 1 species